GGGGAUUUAGCUCAGUGGUAGAGCGUUUGCCUAGCAAGCGCAAGGCCCUGGGUUCAGUUCCCGGCUCUG
rnacentral:tRNA from 1 species